rnacentral:rRNA from 1 species
UAACGAAUCUUCCGCAAUGCACGAAAGUGUGACGGAGCAAUGCCGCGUGAAGGACGAAGCCCUUCGGGGUGUAAACUUUAAAAGAACAAGGGAAAGUUCUGAUCCCUGUUCAGUAAGGGGCGACUAACUCUGUGCCAGCAGUCGCGGUAAUACAGAGGCCCCGAGCGUUAGGCGGAAUCACUGGGCUUAAAGCGUGCGUAGGCGGAUCAUCAAGUGUCUUGUGAAAUCCCACGGCUCAACCGUGGAACUGCUUGGCAUACUGGUGGUCUUGAAUCAUCUAGAGGUAAGUGGAACUGACAGUGGAGCGGUGAAAUGCGUAGAUAUUGUCAGGAACGCCCACGGCGAAAGCAGCUUACUGGGGAUGUAUUGACGCUGAGGUACGAAAGCCAGGGGAGCGAACGGGAUUAGAUACCCCCGUAGUCC